rnacentral:tRNA from 1 species
GCGGAGGUGGCCAAGCGGCUAAGGCGAGAGGCUGCAACCCUCUUAUUCCUGGGUUCAAAUCCCAGCCUCCGCU